rnacentral:rRNA from 1 species
UACAGAGGUCUCAAGCGUUGUUCGGAUUCAUUGGGCGUAAAGGGUGCGUAGGCGGAUGUGUCAGUCAGGGGUGAAAUCCCGGAGCUCAACUUCGGAACUGCCUUUGAUACAGCACGUCUUGAGUCCGAUAGAGGUGGGUGGAAUUCCUAGUGUAGAGGUGAAAUUCGUAGAUAUUAGGAAGAACACCGGUGGCGAAGGCGGCCCACUGGAUCGGUACUGACGCUGAGGUGCGAAAGCGUGGGGAGCAAACAGG